UUGAAUUUUUGGCUCUACACAACAACAAAACUUGAAACAAACGAAAGGGAAAAAGAAAGUCGAUGCAAUGUUCGGAACCAUAUUAACAAUGGAGAAAAAUCUAAAGCUACUACUUAUCUCGGGUAUUACUUGAACUUCAAAUCUUUUAGUUUUGUUUUAUGUGUUGUGGGAUUCCAUAGAGUAUUGAAAACUAAAUACCAAUAAGAAAUAAUAUAAACAUCAAUUCACUGAGUUUCGGCAGAAGCAAUCGAAGUCAAUGGAAAAGAAAGUUAUUUCUUUCUAGCGAAAGAAUUUAUGGAGUGGAGAAGAACAAGCUAGGUAAUUGAAAACCUCUUUCCUUAGUAAUUUAUCUGAGAUUUUCUUUACUUAAUACCUAGCUUAUUAUUAGUUAUUGAAUUUUAACUAAGGGUAGAGACAAGAAAAAGGACUUAGUUAUGGUUGAUUUGUACAUCCAAGAAAAGAUUUUUUUUUUUUAACAUUAUAACUAAUAAAUUAUCUGAACACUUUUCUUAGAAGAUACUGGACUAGGUUAGGUUAUUUGAGAAUUAAACGAGAUAUCCAAAGAGUUGGGUAUACUGGUUGAUUUGGAGAAAGCAAGUCAUAUCGUGGAAUGAAAACAGGGAAAGAAUUAAGAUCAAUAAAAUUUAACCGACUAUAUUAGUGCUCGUGAAGUUGAUAUGUAGAUUGCUUUUGUAAUGAUAUAGGUAGUUGAAGAAGUCGAACGAAGUGCUCGCAGCGACAAGUUCGAUAUUUCGGCACGAGAACUGUGAGUAGUAAUCUUACCACAAUUUGUGUUUUCACAACCUGCAUGGUUUAUACGUUAUUUUGAAAAUAAAAUGUGUUAAUGAAUGUUUAGAAUUGCAUGUGGGACAAGUCCUUUACUUGAUAUGGUACUGAACAGUUUACUGGAGAUGUUAACCGUUAUUUAACAUAUUCAUAUUUUACUGUUACUUAAGAUAUGGUUACCAUUACCGAAAUGGAUUUACAUGAUUUAAUAAGAAUUGAAAUACCCUUUAUUAUUUUGAAAAUGCUUUCUUAUGAAUAUUUACUGGUUACAAGAAAAAGUAUAAAUGGGAGGAGACUUUGAAGGAUCCCGUAGAUAACGACGGGUUCGUUAGACCUGGUGCACCUUGUAUUUACCGAUUACUGAGUACAGUUAUAGCCCUCGCUAGUGGGAAAGUAAAACUAGCAUACAGUUACAGUUUUUCGCUCGAGUAGGGACCUACAGUUAUAUUUAACUCCUUUUACGAAGGGGUCCACACAGUGAUACAGACUACAUGAUCUUUUCUUAAAAAUCUCCUAAACAUAAAGAUUUUCUAUGAGAUAGUGUUUACCGAGCUUAUUACUGAAUUAUUAAAUUGAUUUUAUUACAGAAAACACAUGAUGAGACUGAUUAUUGUUUAUUGUUUCUGAAAGGACAUUCUUAUGAUAUUUUCUGAUUAUUAUACUGGUAUAUUUUCUGAAUUGUCCCUAUUAAAAACUAUUGUGGUUAAGUGUUAUUACUCACUGAGCUAGCAUCUCACUCCUCGCUAUAUUUUGUUUUCCAGAGACAAUAGUUUAAUUUUUCGAGGAUCUUAUUAGCUAGAGCGUACAAGUUGGAAAUUCUGGUGAGCCCCACAUUGCUUCGCGUGGGCAAAGAGUUUAUUUAAUAGUUAUCGCCCUUUUCUUUAAAACUCUUAGAGUUGCUCCAUAGUCAUUUUAAUAGUGCCAUGUGAAUUAAUUAUCAUUUUCGACUUGUUCACUAGAUCGAACUUUCUUAUCGUAUUUUGGAGAUAGAUUUAGCAUCACGGUCUUACAAGUGAUUGAUUAAUAGUGAUGGAAAUCUGACUGGGUAGUCGAUGACGAUUAUGAGCUAUUUUGUUGGAUAUUGAUUGGUUUUGUUGUUGCUUUUUGAGACAGGUAAUUUUUGGAUAGUCCUAAAAUAGGGGAAACUCUGUCCGAUUUUCUGUAAAAUACCGAUGAUGCUUACUUGGGGGCAUUUACUCCUAAGUGCCGGUCAUGAUCCUUAAUUGGGUCGUGACAAAGUUGGUAUCAGAGCCAGGUUAUUCUUGUGACUAAUGAGC
rnacentral:lncRNA from 1 species